GAUGAACGCUGGCGGCGUGCCUAAUACAUGCAAGUCGAGCGAACAGACGAGGAUCUUGCUCCUCUGCCGUUAGCGGCGGACGGGUGAGUAACACGUGGAUAACCUACCUAUAAGACUGGGAUAACUUCGGGAAACCGGAGCUAAUACCGGAUAAUAUAUUGAACCGCAUGGUUCAAUAGUGAAAGACGGUUUUGCUGUCACUUAUAGAUGGAUCCGCGCCGCAUUAGCUAGUUGGUAAGGUAACGGCUUACCAAGGCAACGAUGCGUAGCCGACCUGAGAGGGUGAUCGGCCACACUGGAACUGAGACACGGUCCAGACUCCUACGGGAGGCAGCAGUAGGGAAUAUUCCGCAAUGGGCGAAAGCCUGACGGAGCAACGCCGCGUGAGUGAUGAAGGUCUUCGGAUCGUAAAACUCUGUUAUUAGGGAAGAACAAAUGUGUAAGUAACUAUGCACGUCUUGACGGUACCUAAUCAGAAAGCCACGGCUAACUACGUG
rnacentral:rRNA from 1 species